rnacentral:lncRNA from 1 species
GUCUGUGAGUCACUGUCAGACCUAUGUGUGGCCACCAUGGGCCAGUCAAGCUGUCUAAGGUAUGGAAACAUCAGUGACAGAGGACAUUGUUGCUCUUUACAUGUACUCUUCAUCCUUCUGAUAUUGUGUAUGUUAACUCUAAUUUAGGUGGCACAAAGAAAAGAAGUUUCGCAUAAGCAGUACCACUAGCCACACAAUACUCCAUGCCCGACGGAGCCCUGAGGAGGUUGCCAGGGCCAUCCUGAACUCAAGGCCAUUUUCUACAGAGGCCACGGCUUAUGGACUCCGUACAGAACCCCUGGCUCGGAUGGAGUUUGAGCGUCAACUAGGUGUUGAAGUUGUGGAGAUGGGUUUGCUCAUACACCCGGAUCAGCCUUGGCUGUGUGGCAGCCCUGAUGGCAUGUUCUACCUGUCUGGGGAAACAUGCCUUUUGGAAAUCAAGUGUCCCCACAAGUGUAAAGAAGCAGACAUGUUCGACAGCUCGGGAGAGAGCAUCCUAGACUACAUCCAGGGAACAGGCAGCAACCGAAGACUGAAGACGACGCACAGAUAUUUCACUCAAGUACAGAUAUUACUGUACUUGUUGAAUGUACAAAAGUGUUAUUUUUUUGUAUAUUCUAG